rnacentral:rRNA from 1 species
GGUUAAGCGACUAAGCGUACACGGUGGAUGCCCUGGCAGUCAGAGGCGAUGAAGGACGUGCUAAUCUGCGAAAAGCGUCGGUAAGGUGAUAUGAACCGUUAUAGCCGGCGAUGUCCGAAUGGGGAAACCCAGUGCAAUUCGUUGCACUAUCGUUAACUGAAUACAUAGGUUAACGAGGCGAACCGGGGGAACUGAAACAUCUAAGUACCCCGAGGAAAAGAAAUCAACCGAGAUUCCCCCAGUAGCGGCGAGCGAACGGGGAGCAGCCCAGAGUCUGAAUCAGCUUGUGUGUUAGUGGAACGGUCUGGAAAGUCCGACGGUACAGGGUGAUAGUCCCGUACACCAAAAUGCACAGGCUGUGAACUCGAAGAGUAGGGCGGGACACGUGGUAUCCUGUCUGAAUAUGGGGGGACCAUCCUCCAAGGCUAAAUACUCCUGACUGACCGAUAGUGAACCAGUACCGUGAGGGAAAGGCGAAAAGAACCCCGGCGAGGGGAGUGAAAAAGAACCUGAAACCGUGUACGUACAAGCAGUGGGAGCACCUUCGGGUGUGACUGCGUACCUUUUGUAUAAUGGGUCAGCGACUUAUAUUCUGUAGCAAGGUUAACCGUAUAGGGGAGCCGCAGGGAAACCGAGUCUUAACUGGGCGUUAAGUUGCAGGGUAUAGACCCGAAACCCGGUGAUCUAGCCAUGGGCAGGUUGAAGGUUGGGUAACACUAACUGGAGGACCGAACCGACUAAUGUUGAAAAAUUAGCGGAUGACUUGUGGCUGGGGGUGAAAGGCCAAUCAAACCGGGAGAUAGCUGGUUCUCCCCGAAAGCUAUUUAGGUAGCGCCUCGUGAAUUCAUCUUCGGGGGUAGAGCACUGUUUCGGCUAGGGGGUCAUCCCGACUUACCAACCCGAUGCAAACUACGAAUACCGAAGAAUGUUAUCACGGGAGACACACGGCGGGUGCUAACGUCCGUCGUGAAGAGGGAAACAACCCAGACCGCCAGCUAAGGUCCCAAAGUCAUGGUUAAGUGGGAAACGAUGUGGGAAGGCACAGACAGCCAGGAUGUUGGCUUAGAAGCAGCCAUCAUUUAAAGAAAGCGUAAUAGCUCACUGGUCGAGUCGGCCUGCGCGGAAGAUGUAACGGGGCUAAACCAUGCACCGAAGCUGCGGCAGCGACACUAUGUGUUGUUGGGUAGGGGAGCGUUCUGUAAGCCUGCGAAGGUGUGCUGUGAGGCAUGCUGGAGGUAUCAGAAGUGCGAAUGCUGACAUAAGUAACGAUAAAGCGGGUGAAAAGCCCGCUCGCCGGAAGACCAAGGGUUCCUGUCCAACGUUAAUCGGGGCAGGGUGAGUCGACCCCUAAGGCGAGGCCGAAAGGCGUAGUCGAUGGGAAACAGGUUAAUAUUCCUGUACUUGGUGUUACUGCGAAGGGGGGACGGAGAAGGCUAUGUUAGCCGGGCGACGGUUGUCCCGGUUUAAGCAUGUAGGCUGAUUGUCCAGGCAAAUCCGGAUAAUCAAGGCUGAGGUGUGAUGACGAGGCACUACGGUGCUGAAGUAACAAAUGCCCUGCUUCCAGGAAAAGCCUCUAAGCAUCAGGUAACAUUAAAUCGUACCCCAAACCGACACAGGUGGUCAGGUAGAGAAUACCAAGGCGCUUGAGAGAACUCGGGUGAAGGAACUAGGCAAAAUGGUGCCGUAACUUCGGGAGAAGGCACGCUGGUGUGUAGGUGAAGCCCCUGCGGGUGGAGCUGAGACCAGUCGAAGAUACCAGCUGGCUGCAACUGUUUAUUAAAAACACAGCACUGUGCAAACACGAAAGUGGACGUAUACGGUGUGACGCCUGCCCGGUGCCGGAAGGUUAAUUGAUGGGGUUAUCCGUAAGGAGAAGCUCUUGAUCGAAGCCCCGGUAAACGGCGGCCGUAACUAUAACGGUCCUAAGGUAGCGAAAUUCCUUGUCGGGUAAGUUCCGACCUGCACGAAUGGCGUAAUGAUGGCCAGGCUGUCUCCACCCGAGACUCAGUGAAAUUGAACUCGCUGUGAAGAUGCAGUGUACCCGCGGCAAGACGGAAAGACCCCGUGAACCUUUACUAUAGCUUGACACUGAACAUUGAGCCUUGAUGUGUAGGAUAGGUGGGAGGCUUUGAAGCGUGGACGCCAGUCUGCGUGGAGCCAACCUUGAAAUACCACCCUUUAAUGUUUGAUGUUCUAACGUUGGCCCCUUACCGGGGUUGCGGACAGUGUCUGGUGGGUAGUUUGACUGGGGCGGUCUCCUCCCAAAGCGUAACGGAGGAGCACGAAGGUUAGCUAAUCCUGGUCGGACAUCAGGAGGUUAGUGCAAUGGCAUAAGCUAGCUUGACUGCGAGCGUGACGGCGCGAGCAGGUGCGAAAGCAGGUCAUAGUGAUCCGGUGGUUCUGAAUGGAAGGGCCAUCGCUCAACGGAUAAAAGGUACUCCGGGGAUAACAGGCUGAUACCGCCCAAGAGUUCAUAUCGACGGCGGUGUUUGGCACCUCGAUGUCGGCUCAUCACAUCCUGGGGCUGAAGUAGGUCCCAAGGGUAUGGCUGUUCGCCAUUUAAAGUGGUACGCGAGCUGGGUUUAGAACGUCGUGAGACAGUUCGGUCCCUAUCUGCCGUGGGCGCUGGAGAAUUGAGGGGGGCUGCUCCUAGUACGAGAGGACCGGAGUGGACGCAUCACUGGUGUUCGGGUUGUCAUGCCAAUGGCACUGCCCGGUAGCUAAAUGCGGAAGAGAUAAGUGCUGAAAGCAUCUAAGCACGAAACUUGCCCCGAGAUGAGUUCUCCCUGAGACUUUAAGUCUCCUGAAGGAACGUUAAAGACGAUGACGUUGAUAGGCCGGGUGUGUAAGCGCAGCGAUGCGUUGAGCUAACCGGUACUAAUGAACCGUGAGGCUUAACCUU